rnacentral:rRNA from 1 species
GACGAACGCUGGCGGCGUGCCUAAUACAUGCAAGUAGAACGCACAGUUUAUACCGUAGCUUGCUACACCAUAGACUGUGAGUUGCGAACGGGUUAGUCACGCGUAGGUAACCUGCCUGGUAGCGGGGGAUAACUAUUGGAAACGAUAGCUAAUACCGCAUAAUAUUGAUUAUUGCAUGAUAAUUGAUUGAAAGAUGCUAUUGCAUCACUACCAGCUGGACCUGCGUUGUAUUAGCUAGUAGGUGAGGUAACGGCUCACCUAGGCGACGAUACAUAGCCGACCUGAGAGGGGGAUAGGCCACACUGGGACUGAGACACGGCCCAGACUCCUACGGGAGGCAGCAGUAGGGAAUCUUCGGCAAUGGACGAAAGUCUGACCGAGCAACGCCGCGUGAGUGAAGAAGGUUUUCGGAUCGUAAAGAUCUGUUGUAAGAGAAGAACGGGUGUGAGAGUGGAAAGUUCACACUGUGACGGUAUCUUACCAGAAAGGGACGGCUAACUACGUG